AAAGUCGUAACAAGGUUUCCGUAGGUGAACCUGCGGAAGGAUCAUUACAGAGUUCAUGCCCUCACGGGUAGACCUCCCACCCUUGAAUAUCAUACCUUUGUUGCUUUGGCGGGCCGCCUCGGCCACCGGCUCCGGCUGGUGAGUGCCCGCCAGAGGACCCCAAACCCUGAAUAUUAGUGUCGUCUGAGUACUAUAUAAUAGUUAAAACUUUCAACAACGGAUCUCUUGGUUCUG
rnacentral:misc_RNA from 1 species